GCCUAUCAGAGAGGGAUUACCGUUUAGGAAACGUAACGUUUAAUACCUCAUAACGUAACGAGAUCGCAUGAUAAUGUUACCAAAGAUUUAUCGCUGAUAGAUGGCCUCGCGUCUGAUUAGAUAGUUUGGUGAGGUAACGGCUCACCAAGUCGACGAUCAGUAGCCGGACUGAGAGGUUGAACGGCCACAUUGGGACUGAGACACGGCCCAGACUCCUACGGGAGGCAGCAGUGGGGAAUAUUGCACAAUGGAGGAAACUCUGAUGCAGCGAUGCCGCGUGAGGGAAGAAGGUUUUCGGAUUGUAAACCUCUGUCUUCAGGGACGAUAAUGACGGUACCUGAGGAGGAAGCUCCGGCUAACUACGUG
rnacentral:rRNA from 1 species